AGCGAACGCUGGCGGCAGGCCUAACACAUGCAAGUCGAACGAACUCUUCGGAGUUAGUGGCGGACGGGUGAGUAACACGUGGGAACGUGCCUUUUGGUUCGGAAUAACUCAGGGAAACUUGUGCUAAUACCGAAUGUGCCCUUCGGGGGAAAGAUUUAUCGCCAUUAGAGCGGCCCGCGUCUGAUUAGCUAGUUGGUGAGGUAACGGCUCACCAAGGCGACGAUCAGUAGCUGGUCUGAGAGGAUGACCAGCCACACUGGGACUGAGACACGGCCCAGACUCCUACGGGAGGCAGCAGUGGGGAAUCUUGCGCAAUGGGCGAAAGCCUGACGCAGCCAUGCCGCGUGAAUGAUGAAGGUCUUAGGAUUGUAAAAUUCUUUCACCGGGGACGAUAAUGACGGUACCCGGAGAAGAAGCCCCGGCUAACAUCGUG
rnacentral:rRNA from 1 species